CGAGGACGAACGCUGGCGGCGUGCCUAACACAUGCAAGUCGAGCGGAGUUAACAAGAGGAAGUUUCGGAUGGAAUUUGUAAUUAGCGGCGGACGGGUGAGUAACGCGUGAGCGACCAACCUUGCACAGGGGGAUAACGGACCGAAAGGUUCACUAAUACCGCAUGAGACCACGGUGUUGCAUGACACAGAGGUCAAAGGAGCAAUCCGGUGCAAGACGGGCUCGCGUCCGAUUAGGUAGUUGGUGGGGUAAUGGCCCACCAAGCCUAUGAUCGGUAGCCGACCUGAGAGGGUGAUCGGCCACAUUGGAACUGAGAUACGGUCCAAACUCCUACGGGAGGCAGCAGUGGGGAAUAUUGGGCAAAUGGGGGAAACCCUGACCCAGCAACGCCGCGUGAAGGAAGAAGGUUUUCGGAUUGUAAACUUCUGUCCUUGGUGAAGAGAAGAAGACGGUAGCCAAGGAGGAAGCCCCGGCUAACUACGUGCCAGCCGCUGC
rnacentral:rRNA from 1 species